rnacentral:rRNA from 1 species
GACGAACGCUGGCGGCGUGCUUAACACAUGCAAGUCGAACGGAAAGGCCUCUUUCGGGGGGUACUCGAGUGGCGAACGGGUGGGUAACACGUGAGUAACCUGCCCUUGACUUUGGGAUAACUUCAGGAAACUGGGGCUAAUACCGGAUAGGAGCUCCUGCUGCAUGGUGGGGGUUGGAAAGUUUCGGCGGUUGGGGAUGGACUCGCGGCUUAUCAGCUUGUUGGUGGGGUAGUGGCUUACCAAGGCUUUGACGGGUAGCCGGCCUGAGAGGGUGACCGGCCACAUUGGGACUGAGAUACGGCCCAGACUCCUACGGGAGGCAGCAGUGGGGAAUAUUGCACAAUGGGUGGAAGCCUGAUGCAGCAACGCCGUGUGCGGGAUGACGGCCUUCGGGUUGUAAACCGCUUUCGCUCAUGACGAAGCUUUGUGUGACGGUAGUGGGUAAAGAAGCACCGGCUAACUACGU